AUGAACCAGUUCGACACCUGCCCCCUGGACAAGCCGGCCUGCCUCGCCAGCAUCACCUUCUCCGAGUCUUUGGGGUACCUGCAUCGAUCAUGGCGGAUCAGUGAGCGAGCACAGAGGAGUAGAGUGACCAGCUGCAUGGGCGGCGCGGUGGGUAGCUUACGGGUGGAGGAAGUGCUCGAAGAGCCAGGCGCGGAGGACGGAGACGGCGGACUCCGGGAGGCCGCGCUGGGGCCGCCACGCGUGCUGCGGCUGCUGCAUCAUGCCGAACUGCUGCAUGGCGCGCUGCUGCCGGAGGUGCUGGUCGAUGUACCGCAGCCGAGACAGGCCCCCCGCGCCGGAGCCGUCCUGAGGCUCGCCGAGGCUCCGCCGCGCCGACUGCACCUGCGCGCCGAUCGCGUCCCGCAGCGACCGGAAGUGCCGGGAGAUCGUCUGCAGGGCCAGCGCCGUGUAAGGCCUCGCCGCGCCGGAGCCGGCCACCGCGUCGAACGACGACACUACCAUCUGCAUCUGCUGGUGGUAGUGCCUGUACCUCCGGUCCACCUGGUCCAGCAUGGCCAUCAGUGCCGUCACCUUGUUCUGGAGGUCCUGCCUCUCCGCCGGCGACAGCUCGGCGGCGGAGCUCCCCUCGUUCUCCUCGCCCUUGUCGCCCUCGACCUUGCCGCACUCGCCGUUGCCGGCCGAGUCGUCCUUCCUGUCCCCCUUCCUCUUGAUCGCGUCCCGGACACUGACCACCUCGUCCAGCAGCUCGCGCGCCGCCUUCAGGAACCUCGAGUUCUGCACGUACACGUUCACCUGCGCGUUCCUGCUCGCCGCCAUCGCCAUCGCCGACUGGUUCGGGCUCAUCAAGGUGGGGGAAGCGGCCGCAGCCAUGCCGCCCGGACGGCCGUACUGGUAGAGGGACACCGGCACCUGCGAGCCGAGGCUGAGCGACAGGCCACCCUGGUGACUGCGCUGCCCUGCCGACGCGCCGCCGUCUCCCAUGAGCAUCUGCGUCUGCAGGCCGCCGAGCUCGGAGCCGUCCCUCGAGCCCAUGAACGCGGCCUGCUCGUCGUCUCGGCCAUCGCCGCCGCCGCCGCCGUGCGCUAUGUGGCUCUGCUGCACGAUGGACGCCGGGAGCGGGAUCAGGCCGCCGAUCGACGAGUCUGGGUAUUGGUUGGACAUGGGGUAGUGGUGGUGGAAUGA
rnacentral:rRNA from 1 species